rnacentral:rRNA from 1 species
CCUACGGGUGGCAGCAGUGAGGAAUAUUGGUGAAUGGGCGCGAGCCUGAACCAGCCAAGUCGCGUGAGGGAAGACGGUCCUAUGGAUUGUAAACCUCUUUUGUCGGGGAGCAAAAGGCGCCACGCGUGGCGUUCCGAGAGUACCCGAAGAAAAAGCAUCGGCUAACUCCGUGCCAGCAGCCGCGGUAAUACGGAGGAUGCGAGCGUUAUCCGGAUUUAUUGGGUUUAAAGGGUGCGGAGGAGGAAGAUUAAGUCAGCGGUAAAAUUGAGGGGCUCAACCCCGUCGAGCCGUUGAAACUGGUGUCCGUGAGUGGGCGAGAGGUAUGCGGAAUGCGUGGUGUAGCGGUGAAAUGCAUAGAUAUCACGCAGAACUCCGAUUGCGAAGGCAGCAUACCGGCGCUCUACUGACGCUCAGGCACGAAAGCGUGGGUAUCGAACAGGAUUAGAUACCCUUGUAGUC